rnacentral:lncRNA from 1 species
UUAUGCUGGACAACUGAGGGGCCAAAUGAUCAGACACGAGACAAGUCAACAAAAGUCUCCGCACAAAAUCAUUACAUGAAGGACUUUAUUUCCUUCUCGAUGACAUAGAACUUCUCCAUUCAACGUAACAGAAAAACAAUUCCUUAAAAAAAUCAUUUGGUUAUUAAAAGUCACAAAUAAUAAUUCUGUCAACAGAACUGACCACAUGUAGUA